AGUGGGGAAUUUUGGACAAUGGGGGAAACCCUGAUCCAGCCAUGCCGCGUGAGUGAAGAAGGCCUUCGGGUUGUAAAGCUCUUUUGGCCGGGAAGAAAGGGUUCGGGCGAAUAACCUGGAUCUUUGACGGUACCGGCAGAAUAAGCACCGGCUAACUACGUGCCAGCAGCCGCGGUAAUACGUAGGGUGCGAGCGUUAAUCGGAAUUACUGGGCGUAAAGCGUGCGUAGGCGGUUCGUUAUGUCUGCUGUGAAAUCCCCGGGCUCAACCUGGGAAUGGCAGUGGAAACUGGCGGGCUUGAGUGUGGCAGAGGGGGGUGGAAUUCCGCGUGUAGCAGUGAAAUGCGUAGAGAUGCGGAGGAACACCGAUGGCGAAGGCAGCCCCCUGGGCUGACACUGACGCUGAGGCACGAAAGCGUGGGGAGCAAA
rnacentral:rRNA from 1 species